rnacentral:rRNA from 1 species
GUGGGGAAUAUUGGACAAUGGGCGAAAGCCUGAUCCAGCCAUGCCGCGUGUGUGAAGAAGGUCUUCGGAUUGUAAAGCACUUUAAGUUGGGAGGAAGGGCAGUAAGUUAAUACCUUGCUGUUUUGACGUUACCGACAGAAUAAGCACCGGCUAACUUCGUGCCAGCAGCCGCGGUAAUACGAAGGGUGCAAGCGUUAAUCGGAAUUACUGGGCGUAACGCGCGCGUAGGUGGCUUUGUAAGUUGGAGGUGAAAUCCCCGGGCUCAACCUGGGAACUGCUUUCAAAACUGCUGAGCUAGAGUACGGUAGAGGGUGGUGGAAUUUCCUGUGUAGCGGUGAAAUGCGUAGAUAUAGGAAGGAACACCAGUGGCGAAGGCGACCACCUGGACUGAUACUGACACUGAGGUGCGAAAGCGUGGGGAGCAAACAGGAUUAGAUACCCGGGUAGUCC